rnacentral:rRNA from 1 species
AUUGAACGCUGGCGGCAGGCCUAACACAUGCAAGUCGAACGAGUGGCGGACGGGUGAGUAAUGUCUGGGAAACUGCCCGAUGGCGGGGGAUAAAUACUGGAAACGGUAGCUAAUACCGCAUACCAUCGGAUGUGCCCAGAUGGGAUUAGCUAGUAGGUGGGGUAACGGCUCACCUAGGCGACGAUCCCUAGCUGGUCUGAGAGGAUGACCAGCCACACUGGAAUUGAGAACCGGCCAAGCAGCCUACGGGAGGCAGCAGUGGGGAUGAUUGCACAAUGGGCGAAAGCCUGAUGCAGACAGGCCGCGUGUAUGAAGAAGGCCUUGGGGUUGUAAAGUACUUUCAGCGAGGAGGCGGUACUCGCAUAAGAAGCCACGGCUAACUCCGUGCCAGCAGCCGCGGUAAUUC